rnacentral:rRNA from 1 species
CCUACGGGAGGCUGCAGUCAAGAAUCUUCCCCAAUGGCCGAAAGGCUGAGGGAGCGACGCCGCGUGUAUGAAGACGCUUUUCGGAGUGUAAAAUACUUUUAACUGGGACGAAACAAUGACUUUACCAGUUGAAUAAGGGGCUGCUAACCUCGUGCCAGCAGCAGCGGUAAUACGAGGGCCCCAAGCGUUAUCCGGAUUUAUUGGGCGUAAAGGGUUCGUAGGCGGUUUGUUGCAUCUCCAGUUAAAUCUAUCGGCUCAACCGAUAGGCCGCUGGAGAGAUGAGCAAACUAGAGACCGGAAGAGGCAAGCGGAAUUGUUGGUGUAGGGGUUAAAUCCGUUAAUAUCAACAAGAACACCAAAAGCGAAGGCAGCUUGCUAGAACGGUUCUGACACUGAGGAACGAAAGCGUGGGGAGCGAAUGGGAUUAGACACCCCAGUAGUC